AACGAACGCUGGCGGCAUGCCUAACACAUGCAAGUCGAACGAGACCUUCGGGUCUAGUGGCGCACGGGUGCGUAACGCGUGGGAACCUGCCCUUAGGUUCGGAAUAACUCCCCGAAAGGGGUGCUAAUACCGGAUAAUGUCUUCGGACCAAAGAUUAUCGCCUUUGGAUGGGCCCGCGUUGGAUUAGCUAGUUGGCAGGGUAAAAGCCUACCAAGGCGACGAUCCAUAGCUGGUCUGAGAGGAUGAUCAGCCACACUGGGACUGAGACACGGCCCAGACUCCUACGGGAGGCAGCAGUGGGGAAUAUUGGACAAUGGGCGAAAGCCUGAUCCAGCAAUGCCGCGUGAGUGAUGAAGGCCUUAGGGUUGUAAAGCUCUUUUACCCGGGAUGAUAAUGACAGUACCGGGAGAAUAAGCUCCGGCUAACUCCGUG
rnacentral:rRNA from 1 species